rnacentral:rRNA from 1 species
CCUACGGGUGGCAGCAGUGAGGAAUAUUGGUCAAUGGACGCGAGUCUGAACCAGCCAAGUAGCGUGAAGGAUGACUGCCCUAUGGGUUGUAAACUUCUUUUAUAUGGGAAUAAAAUGUUCCACGUGUGGGCUUUUGUAUGUACCAUAUGAAUAAGGAUCGGCUAACUCCGUGCCAGCAGCCGCGGUAAUACGGAGGAUCCGAGCGUUAUCCGGAUUUAUUGGGUUUAAAGGGAGCGUAGGUGGAUUGUUAAGUUAGUGGUGAAAGUUUGCGGCUCAACCGUAAAAUUGCAGUUGAUACUGGCAGUCUUGAGUACAGUAGCGGUGGGCGGAAUUCGUGGUGUAGCGGUGAAAUGCUUAGAUAUCACGAAGAACUCCGAUUGCGAAGGCAGCUCACUGGACUGCAACUGACACUGAGGCUCGAAAGUGUGGGUAUCAAACAGGAUUAGAUACCCCGGUAGUC